rnacentral:rRNA from 1 species
CGUAUGGGGAAUGCCUAGGCACACUCCGGCGAAGAAGGACGCAGCAAACAGCGAAAUGCGACGGGAAGCGGUAAGCACGCAAAGAUCCGUCGAUAUCCGAAUGGGGGAACCCGCAUGGAGUCAAAUCCAUGGAUCACAUGUUGAAUACAUAGACAUGAUGAGGCGAGACGCAGGGAACUGAAACAUCUAAGUACCUGCAGGAAGAGAAAAUAAGAAUGAUUUUCUGAGUAGCGGCGAGCGAAAGGGAAAGAGCCCAAACCGAUCUGAGGAUCGGGGUAGUAGGAUCAUCAAUAAAUCUGACAGAGGAUCAUAGAGGAAUCACAUGGGAAGGUGAGCGAGAGAGGGUGAGAGCCCCGUACUCGAAAUGAGAGACUGGAGAGAGAUGACACCUGAGUAGGGCGGGACACGAGGAAUCCUGUCUGAAUCGGCCGGGACCAUCCGGCAAGGCUAAAUACGAGAGUAGUGACCGAUAGUGAACCAGUACCGUGAGGGAAAGGUGAAAAGAACCCCGGGAGGGGAGUGAAAGAGAACCUGAAACCAUAUGCCUACAAGAAGUCAGAGCCCGUUAAAGGGUGAUGGCGUGCCUUUUGUAGAAUGAACCGGCGAGUUACUGUAUGGAGCGAGGUUAAGCAGGAUAUGCGGAGCCGAAGCGAAAGCGAGUCUUAAGAGGGCGAAAGUUGCAUGCAGUAGACCCGAAACCGGGUGAUCUAGCCAUGACCAGGUUGAAGUUGGGGUAAAACCCGAUGGAGGACCGAACCGACCCCCGUUGAAACGUUGGCGGAUGAGUUGUGGCUAGGGGUGAAAUUCCAAUCGAACCCGGAGAUAGCUGGUUCUCCCCGAAAUAGCUUUAGGGCUAGCGUCGAGGUAGAGAGUUGCGUGAAGGUAGAGCACUGAAUAUGUGAUGGCCCCAUCUCGGGGUACUGAGCAUAAUCAAACUGCGAAUGUCACGGAAACAUACUCGGCAGUCAGACAGCGGGUGAUAAGGUCCGUUGUCAAGAGGGAAACAGCCCAGACCAUCAGCUAAGGUCCCAAAAUGUAUGCUAAGUGGAAAAGGAUGUGGAGAUGUACAGACAACUAGGAGGUUGGCUCAGAAGCAGCCAUCCUUUAAAGAGUGCGUAACAGCUCACUAGUCGAAUGACUCUGCGCCGAUAAUUUACCGGGGCUAAGCAUACUACCGAAGCUAUGGAUCCCAAGGGAUGGUAGGGGAGCGUUCCAUGAACGGAGAAGCGUGAUCGAGAGGACGCGUGGAGAUCAUGGAAGAGAGAAUGCCGGUGUGAGUAGCGGAACGUGGGUGAGAAUCCCACGCACCGAAAACCCAAGGUUUCCAGAGGAAGGUUCGUCCGCUCUGGGUAAGUCGGGACCUAAGGCGAGGCCGAGAGGCGUAGUCGAUGGACAACAGGUAGAGAUUCCUGUACUCAUAUAUAUGUGAAGGAAUGACGGAGAGAGGAAGCUGCAGCCAGCGGCUGGAAGAGCUGGUGCAAGCGAGAUAUCGGGAUGGCAGGCAAAUCCACCAUCCGAAACGAGAAGGCGUGAAGCGUACGGAAAGCUAAGGCGAGUACGGAAGGCAGUGGAGGAGCUUCCAAGAAAAGUUUCUAACGAAAGUAUAUGUGACCCGUACCGAAAAUGGACACACAUGGGUGAGGAGAGAAUCCUAAGGUGAGCGAGAGAACUAUAGCUAAGGAACUCUGCAAAAUGACUCCGUAACUUAGGGAGAAGGAGUGCUCAUAGAGAUAUGAGCCGCAGUGAAACGGCCCAAGCGACUGUUUACCAAAAACACAGCUCUCUGCUAAGCCGCAAGGCGAAGUAUAGGGGGUGACGCCUGCCCGGUGCUGGAAGGUUAAGGGGAGGGGUUAACGCAAGUGAAGCCCUGAACUGAAGCCCCAGUAAACGGCGGCCGUAACUAUAACGGUCCUAAGGUAGCGAAAUUCCUUGUCAGGUAAGUUCUGACCCGC